UGGGUUGGCGGGCUCCGUGCUUCGGCAUCGAACCGUCCGCGCACGCUCCACGUCAGUGAUGCAUCAAGNCUUUCUUGUGCUUCAAAGCGAUUCCUGUAUUUGCUACCUACGUUUAAAGGAAUGGUGCCUCUCGCUUACCCUUUCCUUCCCUGACCAUGUGGCCAGGGGGAGGACAUUGUAGUAGCGCCUGUGCCCCUCGCAUUGGUCAUGCCGUAUGGCAUGCACCAUGUGACGGUUCUUAGGUUGUUACUUGAUGCCUCGGAUACGGAACAUUUGGUGGGCUUGGGUGUCUUCACACCUUUGAUGUCCAAAUUCAAGCGUUUUGUCGCUAGACAUGUACGACUGUCAUGCUCGUUGCGGGUCUCCCGCGCGGUGCUUGGCGUCGGCAAAGGAAUGCUACCUGGUU
rnacentral:misc_RNA from 1 species